rnacentral:rRNA from 1 species
UGGGGAAUAUUGGACAAUGGGGGCAACCCUGAUCCAGCCAUGCCGCGUGAGUGAUGAAGGCCUUCGGGUUGUAAAGCUCUUUUGGCGGGGACGAUGAUGACGGUACCCGCAGAAUAAGCACCGGCUAACUACGUGCCAGCAGCCGCGGUAAUACGUAGGGUGCAAGCGUUAAUCGGAAUUACUGGGCGUAAAGCGUGCGCAGGCGGUUUUGUAAGACAGAGGUGAAAUCCCCGGGCUCAACCUGGGAACUGCCUUUGUGACUGCAAAGCUGGAGUGCGGCAGAGGGGGAUGGAAUUCCGCGUGUAGCAGUGAAAUGCGUAGAUAUGCGGAGGAACACCGAUGGCGAAGGCAAUCCCCUGGGCCUGCACUGACGCUCAUGCACGAAAGCGUGGGGAGCAAACA